UACGUAGGCAGCGAGCGUUGUUCGGAGUUACUGGGCGUAAAGGGUGUGUAGGCGGUUCUUUAAGUUUGGUGUGAAAUCUCCCGGCUUAACCGGGAGGGUGCGCCGAAUACUGAGGGACUAGAGUACGGGAGAGGAAAGUGGAAUUCCUGGUGUAGCGGUGAAAUGCGUAGAUAUCAGGAGGAACACCGGUGGUGUAGACGGCUUUCUGGACCGUAACUGACGCUGAGACGCGAAAGCGUGGGUAGCAAACAGG
rnacentral:rRNA from 1 species